UACGGGAGGCAGCAGUGGGGAAGUAAUUGUCACAAUAGGGCGGCAAGACCUCGAUGCAGCCACUGCCGCCGUGUAUGAAGAAAGGCCUUCGGGUUGUAAAGUACUUUCAGUCGUGAGGAAGGUGUUAAGGUUAAUAACCUUAGCAAUUGACGUUAGCGACAGAAGAAGCACCGGCUAACUCCGUGCCAGCAGCCGCGGUAAUACGGAGGGUGCGAGCGUUAAUCGGAAUUACUGGGCGUAAAGGGCACGCAGGCGGUUAAUUAAGUUGGAUGUGAAAUCCCCGGGCUUAACCUGGGAAUGGCAUUCAAGACUGGUUAGCUAGAGUCUUGUAGAGGGGGUAGAAUUCCAUGUGUAGCGGUGAAAUGCGUAGAGAUGUGGAGGAAUACCGGUGGCGAAGGCGGCCCCUGGACAAAGACUGACGCUCAUGUGCGAAAGCGUGGGGAGCAAAACAGGGAUUAGAU
rnacentral:rRNA from 1 species